rnacentral:rRNA from 1 species
UACAGAGGGUGCGAGCGUUAAUCGGAAUUACUGGGCGUAAAGGGCGCGUAGGCGGUCAGCACAAGUCAGUUGUGAAAUCUCCGGGCUUAACUCGGAAAGGUCAACUGAUACUGUGCGACUAGAGUGCAGAAGGGGCAACUGGAAUUCUCGGUGUAGCGGUGAAAUGCGCAGAUAUCAGGAGGAACACCGGUGGCGAAGGCGGGUCUCUGGGCCGAUACUGACGCUGAGGAGCGAAAGCGUGGGGAGCGAACAGG